AGUUGGGAAUCUUGGACAAUGGGCGAAAGCCUGAUCCAGCCAUGCCGCGUGAGUGAUGAAGGCCUUCGGGUUGUAAAGCUCUUUUGCCAGGGACGAUAAUGACUGUACCUGGAGAAUAAGCCCCGGCUAACUUCGUGCCAGCAGCCGCGGUAAUACGAAGGGGGCUAGCGUUGUUCGGAAUUACUGGGCGUAAAGCGUGCGCAGGCGGUUUCUCAAGUCAGGGGUGAAAGCCCGGAGCUCAACUCCGGAAUUGCCUUUGAAACUGUGAAGCUAGAGUGCGGGAGAGGUGAGUGGAAUUCCCAGUGUAGAGGUGAAAUUCGUAGAUAUUGGGAAGAACACCGGUGGCGAAGGCGGCUCACUGGCCCGUUUCUGACGCUCAUGCACGACAGCGUGGGGAUCAAA
rnacentral:rRNA from 1 species